AAAAUGGUCCUUUUAAGGACCCCAAAGCUUCCGAAUGAGUUAUUU
rfam:Aedes albopictus isolate Foshan contig211030, whole genome shotgun sequence.